rnacentral:rRNA from 1 species
UACAGAGGUCCCAAGCGUUGUUCGGAAUUACUGGGCGUAAAGGGCUCGUAGGCGGCCAACUAAGUCAGACGUGAAAUCCCUUGGCUUAACCGGGGAACUGCGUCUGAUACUGGAUGGCUUGAGUUUGGGAGAGGGAUGCGGAAUUCCAGGUGUAGCGGUGAAAUGCGUAGAUAUCUGGAGGAACACCGGUGGCGAAGGCGGCAUCCUGGACCAACACUGACGCUGAGUGAGCGAAAGCCAGGGGAGCAAACGGG